rnacentral:rRNA from 1 species
UACGGGGGGGCAAGCGUUGUUCGGAAUUACUGGGCGUAAAGGGCGCGUAGGCGGUGUGUCGCGUCGGCCGUGAAAACCUGGGGCUCAACUCCGGGCCUGCAGUCGAUACGGGCUGGCUUGAGUGCGGUAGGGGAGACUGGAAUUCCUGGUGUAGCGGUGAAAUGCGCAGAUAUCAGGAGGAACACCGGUGGCGAAGGCGGAUCUCUGGGCCUUACCUGACGCUGAGGCGCGAAAGCUAGGGGAGCGAACAGG